CCCAGCCCCAUCACCAUACGAUUUUUCAUAUCUCCACUCCCUAAAAUCUCUCUGACAAACCAAAUCUCCACAUAAUUGUUAUAUAUAUCUCUUCCCACAAUCUCAGCCAGUUUCAACGCCAUCCGGUUCAGUUCCUCUUCGUUUCUGCAAAGGGUGAACUGUGCACGUUGUUUGUGGUUGGAGAAGAAAGUGAUUGAGGAGCUAAGAGAACGAGAUUGAGCUGUGACGAGCGCGGUGGGUGUUGAGCAUAAAAGUGAAGAAGAUAACAAAUAAAGAUUUCGAAUAUAUUAUGUCUUCAUACAUAGUAUAAUUCUUCUCUCGAAUGCUUCCGCUAAAUGUUGUUUCUCUUGAGUUCAUUUAUUGAUGAGAUAUUGUAUUCCUUUGAGUUGUCGGUUGUUGAGAUAAUACUCUGAUUUUAUUCGAGAUAUUCCAUUUAU